UUUUGUUUUCUAUAAUUAACAUUGCUAACUUGCAAUACUUAUCAUAAUUAUCAUGCUCCCACUAACAUGAUGAUUAUUAGCAUAACACUUAUGCUCCCACUAGCUUUGACAUGUACUCAGAAAUCAACUGACUUCCUUACCAAAGUUCAUAUUUCUGAUACUAGAUUGUUUUGAUAAAACUUUAUCAAAAUCAUACACCUUCCCUUAGAUAGCACACUUGUGUGUCUAAACAAUUAUGAAGAGGGAUGCCGUAAUCAUAAUGGUUAGACCUUUUUGCCACUUCUCACAAGUCCAGGUUAGUGUGCCGGUAAACCACACACGCUCCACUAACGACUUUGAGAAUGCAAAUAUCACAAUUGCUAUCUAGCUAAAAUCUACUUAGUGAAAGUGUUUCCUCACCAUCAUUUUCAUGAAUCGGAGAGAAACCUUAUGACACUUAGAUUUACUGGUGUAUGUGUUCUUAUCCAUGUGAAUUGUCAAGACCUUAGUCACAGGAAAAGGGUAAUGACAAAUCCAAACUCAUAUCGAUUGAACUCAAUCUUAACUUCUUGCCACCUGGCAACUCAAGGGCCUUCCAUUGCUUCCAAGUUGUUGUGCAACACAUUGAGAACUCUAAGAACUCAUAUNCUUUAACUAGAAUGGGCACAGAAUAUGUCAACACGAUAGGUUAUAAACCGCAAGUCGUGUGCUAGUGAAGAACUUCAGGUUUUAUUCUUGAUUGGUUCUUGAGACUUUCAAGACCUUUAAGAAUCCCACUGUCCUCUUGACCUAUAAGACUCCCUUGUCAAAUAUCCAAGAGAUAGUGUGGAUUCUCAUCAAGACAAACACUUCACAUAAUUGGCCUAAGUUGGUCUUUGUUUUAUCCAAAACAUCACAACUUACCAAUUUCAAAUGUACAAGAGUAGAAAACUUUUACUCUUACAUUUGACAAGUGUUUUAAACCUUCUUUAAGACAUGUCACUCAAGUUACAAUCUUGGAGUAUGACUCUAAGACUUGUAUUGGAACGAAGUAUGACUCAUCUUCUUGAUUUAACCAUUUCAACAAUUCAAGUUCCUCUUCUUAGUCAUAAGAAUGCACUAAGAUUUCCUUAGAGAACUAAUUUUGAUAUGGUUUCUUAAUCAUUAAGAUGAUCACAAAACUGAUACUAAAGUACUCUCCCAUCUUUUCAGAUUUGAGAAACUUUUAUCCUUCUGCCUAAUUUGAUUCUUCUUAUUCGCUCUGCCAUACAUUGGAACCUUUUCCAAUGUCUCAGAGUUACACUUAAGCUUGUAAGUAUAAUCAUAUUUACUGAGCUUUAGUAAACUAUGACGAAUAGUCUUAUCAAUCUUUUGUGGUGGACUUAAUCAGUGCACAAGAAUGUGUACUCGAUCCCUUAGUCCUUUACUUGACUCACACAUCCAUGUGGCCGAGUAAUUAGUCUUAAUUUUCCAAAACUUGAAAGUUCUCAUUCAUCAUGCUAUACAACUUGCAUGAUUCCAAGUUCCGGUCCAAUUGAAACUUGGGUGAUGAGAAUCUUUCCUUAUUUGGUAAAUCUAGACAUUACCACAAAUGAAAGAAUCAAUUUCAUAUUUCCACUCUUGCUAUUAAUGGAAUCAUAUAAGCAACAAUUUUUCCUCAAAUGCCAUUGUAAGGAUAUUUUAAAAUAAAUAAAAUCAAAAAUUUUCUUUUAUUUUAAAACUUUGCGGAAAAACUUAUCCUUACAAUCCAUAUGAAAACUUGUUGUUAUCUAUUCCUAAGCAAUAUCUCAUAACUCCUAAGAAGUUGCUCAAGAAUCCGAUCUUCAAACUAUGCGAUAGAAAUCCAUCUACGCCAUCAGAUUCAGCAUAUUCUUUCUUUAAGUUUCUUCACUUUUCUUUGAUUCUUAAAACAUCACCAUGUGACCCAGUCACAUCAUGUAUCAGGAAUCUCAGAAUAGAAACUUAACAGAGUUAGAUAGUGGACUUUACCUGAAGUAGAGUCAAACUUAUUGACUUUAACAUCCUUAGGUAAAUUUGGCAGCUUCGCAACCAAUGCCCCUUCCUUUGGCAAUAUAAACAUAUGGACCCUUUGAUAAUGGUACACGAGACUAUCACAGACUUAGCUUUUCUCUUUACCAUUUGGUCAACCGAGUUGACUAUGGCCGAUCCCUUUCCAUUGGGAAGAGAAUGCUUUACUGGAUAUCCAAUGUCAUCAUUGUCAAUGUCCAUAAAGUUUUAGGAAGUUGAUCUUAGCAAAUAGAUAAGAUCAUUAAGGGUCUUGUCAUAGUCUGUUUCAUAGGUGUCCCAAAGGAACUCACUAUGUGACUUAGAAAGUGAUUGAACCACCAACUUUCUCAAGACUUUGACACCCAACUCUCCCGGCUUGUCAAUAUGUGACUACAUCUCCAAGAUGUGAUCACACCUAGACCUUGCCUUGCCAAUAGGGCUUGAGUGACCUUAAACUUUUCAAGAACUUGUGGGUUAGGGAGAAUAAUUGGAGGAGGAGAAAGAAGUAUGAUAUCCAUGGGACAUCAUCUUCAUUAGGAAACCUUGUUUCAAGAGAUUUGGGAAGAUCAUAGGUGUCUAAACCAGACAUCUUUUGGGAGAUAUUCAAGAUAGUUGAUUUAAAGUCCUUAAUAUGACACCCAAUAUGAAAUAUUAAGGCUAGGACCCAACAAACUAUUUUAUAACUUAGAAGAGGUAUGCCGUAAUCCAAGCUAUAAAAUAUUUGAAGGUAGGUGAAUGACGAUUCACCAAUUUCCACCAAGAUAAACGAAAUGUAUUAUUAGGUUUUAAUUGGUUUUGAAACUCCUAGAUCUUUGAGAUUCAUUGAACUGUUCAAAGGCAUGUUUCAAUCUCGAGUGUGCCCUUCAGGUUUUGUGACUGGGAUGCCGAGGAUCACAAAACAAGGUGUGAAGUAACCAUGCAAAUCACUUGGUACCCUUAAUAAAUUACCCCUCAAUCGAUGUGCCGGUUAACCACACACGCUCCAUCGAUACUAUGAUAAAUAUUAAGUCACCCUUUACCUACCUUGUUAAGUCCAAGUUAGUGUGCCGGUUAACCACACACGCUCCACUAACGACUUAGACAAAGUGUAAAGUGUAAUUUCAUGGAUUAGCACCUUAUUCACAUUUUUCCUAAGUAACUAAGAUUGGGUAUUAUUAAGAGUUUAGUUACUUAGUAUUAUCAUUAAUACUUUUAAUGAAGGGAGAAUUCUAGUCCUGUCAAACCCGUUCGGCUAACGACCCUCCACCAGUCAAGCAAGCGGUGGGUGAGAGUGGACACCCAUUAAGUUGCCAUUUUAUAGGCAACAACCUUAUACCCACCUUAUAGACCGGCUUCGUGAAUGAGGCGUACUAGCGGUAAGACUGACUUUACUCUUAUACAUAUAUAUAUUAUUAACUUAUAAUAUUAUAAAGUAUAAGGGUUGAAUUUUAACUUUUAAAAUUCUAAGGGCUAACUUGGAAUUAAAGUAUUCAUAAGUGAAAACUUUACAAAUUCCAAAACUUGAGGGCAAGUUUUGAAACUAUUCAAAACUAAUUAAUUCCAUAACUUAUGUGUUUAAAGUAGUUUUAAUCCAAAAACUCUUCAAGUUCCAUAACUUGAGGACAAGUUAUGGAAGACUUUAAACUAAUAAAAGAAUUAACUUUUCUUUAUUUUAUAACUUAUGGAAUUAAUUAAGGUUACACUUUUUUUUUUUUUAUUUUAUUUUAUUAAAUGAAGAGACUCUUGGUCCUCCAUAACUUGAGGACAAGUUAUGGAGUCAUAAAACCAUUUAAUUAGAACUAGACUCUUCAUUUUUGUAACCUUUGCCAAUUUUUAUGAGUUUUAUGAUUCUUAAAUGUGACUUUUCAUAUAACUUGAGGACAAGUUACAAAAACACAUUUUAGAAUCAAUUCUUAGAUUAAUUUGGAUUAAAACCAACUAUCACAUAAUUUUAUUCAUUAAUCUAAAUUCACUCAUAAAACAAGGUAACACAAAAAACUUUUGGUGAUCCAUAACUUAUUCUUAAGUUAUGGAAUCCUUUAAAACAUUAACACCAAAUUUUGUAACUCCAAAAAAACUUUGAAUCAAUUUUUUUUUUAAAACCUUUUCAUAUCCAUAACUUAUGGAGGUUUCAAAAAAUAAAACUCUUUAGAUCAAACUUUUAAAACUAAUAAAAUAAUCAUAUUAUUUUAUCUUUUAUUAAAUUUGACCUAAUUCAACUCAUAAAGCAAAUUAUUCAAAUUUUACAAAUAAUUAGUUUUUCACAAGAACAAGUAAUUAUCUUAAAAUUUGACAAACUUCAUGUUUUUUUUUUUUUUUUUUUUCAACUUUGAAAAUAAAAUAUUUGCAUCAAUAUAACAGAAAACAACCCGUGGCUCUGAUACCACUGUUGGGUUUUGAGCAUUCUAACACUUCCUAAGUGUACAUGCAACCCUAAAUACCUUGGAUCUAUGUUUUCUCUAUUAUACAUGCAAAUAAGAACAUCCAAGGUAUUAUCCUAAUCUAGCAUACAAAAGUGAAGAGUGUAACAAGAUAGAAUACAUACCUCUUUGAUGUAGAAAGUCUUCAUGAAGCUUGAGUGCCUAGCCCCAAUAGUGUGGAAGCCUCAAAUGGAAUCACAAUCACCAAAACACUUAGAAUAACUUGAGAGAAUUCUACACUUCAUGAAAUCGGCUAGCCCUUUUACUUCACACCCUAGUUCCCGAUUUGGUCAUGAAUAAGAUGCUUAUAUAGUUAGGGUUACACCAUGUAAACCCUAAUUGACAUGGCCUUUAAUUUCCAUGAUCCAUGGGUACAAAUACACCAUGGAGCAUCCAUGGACCAUCCUAUGGGUUUUAGCCCAACUUGAUUAUCCAUGGAGCAUUAGCCCACUAUACAAGUAUGGAUGAUUUACACAAUCAACCCAUAUAUUUAAUUAGUCUUCUUUUGAUCACUUAAUUAAUCCUAGAUUAAUUCUUGAUCAAUACUAAUUAAAUAAUCUUAUUAUUCUUAUUAUUAAUAUACUAGAACUUAUAAUAUAUUAAUAACCAUAAGUGUCUUAUUUCUCUCAUUAUAGUCUAUCCAAGUGCAUGAUGGUAUGCAACCCAAAUGGACCAUGUCGGGUCGGGUCAAGUCUUACCAAUUAUAGUUAUGGACUUAGACAAUAAUCCAACAAUGGCUUCACCCGCAAACUUACAACACUUUAACACUAUCUGGCUGCUAGUGAAUGCUAUGGGUACACCCGCAGACUUACAACACUCUAACACUAUCUGGCUGCUAGUGAAUGCUACGGGUACACCCACAGACUUUUAACACUCUGACACUAUCUGGCUGCUAGUGAAAGCUACGGCUACACCCGCAGACUUACAACACUCCAUAUUGGAUCGACCACGCGCUUGACCUGCAUUCAGCUGAAUUCAUGCCCUGACUGGAAUCCCCAACCUGAUUCCCUAAGGCUUGAUAGCAAACAUUACGAGAACACGAUCUCCUUAUUGGGAAGUUUUUCUGAACUUCCAUCUCACACUCUCUUCAAAUCAUACAACCGCUUGGGCUUUCUUCCUUCCUGAAAAUGAUGCAAAACUUAUCCUAUCUUCAUAACUGCUCUUGCUUCAGAAUCCUGGGUGAUUCUCCCCCACUUUGAUUCAGCUAAUGCUCUACAACACUCAAAACUGAAAAAAUUCUCAAUUCUUCCUACCCUCCCAUGACCAAUCUACUAGAACUCACGCUUAUCCUUGCUAGGGUUUCGACACCAGCUAACCCAAAAGAUCAUACAACUUCUAAAAAAAUCCGAAUAAAUCUUUGGUAAUAACCCGCUAACCCAGGAAGCUCUGAAUCUCAAUUGGAGGCCUCGGAAUCUCCCACUGCAUCACGACCUCUAUCUUGGCCAGAACGACUAGAAUACCCUUCUGAUUGACAAGGUGCACAAGAAAUUGCACCUUGCGCAACCAGAGCUCACAUUUGGAGUACCUUGCAAAAGGACACUCCCUCCUCAAAGUCUCUAGCUCCUCCCUCAGGUGCUUCUCAUGAUGCUCCUCAGUCUUGGAAUAAACCAAGAUGACAUUGUACUCUCCCAAUCUUGCAAUUUUGGAAAUGCUCUAUCACUACUCGCUAAUGUUUCUCAGUAUGCAAUUGGCAUAUGACAUCUCUUGAAAAAAUAAUUUAUGCCCAAACUGAGGAUAACUCAGGGCUACACUUACUCAAACCCUUGAAACGAAAGACUCCAUUGUGUAGUUUCCCGCAUGUGCUGUACUGAAUCUAACCCUGCUGGUCCUUCAUAAGCUUAUCCAAAAUCUAGGGUCUUCUCCUGAGACACCUGUAUAUAAGCAAAUGAUCUAAUUCCCUCUAACCAAUGUGCUCCAAGUCCAUAUCUCGUUCUCAAGAUUUAGAAGUCAUAUCAUUCAGGGUCUUGCACCCCGAGAUACUCACGAUCUCCCUGCUAUCAUUCUAUAGUAUGUUCUGAUAAAUUACCUUCUUCAUUUCUUCAUCUGCUGCAUACUGUGGUACCAUAUAACUCUGAAAUCCCGAAACAUCAGCGUACGAGUUCCUAUCAUGACUGUAACCUCAGUGCAGAAUGCACUCGGCCUCUCAUCACAAAUCUCUAUAAUGCCCUCCUUGAUCAUACUAAGGAUCACAAGAGUCUGGUCAAUGAUAUUGCACAUAAUCUCAGAUGGAAUGAACUCCCUCAUUUGAUCAUCGAGCUACCCGACUACAGAGUCUGAGCCUAAUCCCUCGUCAACACCAGAACUACCAUCUGGUCUACCAUGUAGCGUCACUAUACUCGAUAAUAUACCAUUACUAACAUCACAAUACUCAUCAGAACUCGAGGGAUCUCACACACUACAAGUUCCCUAGUCUUAUCUUAGCCUUCCUUGAUUCGAGUACAGAUCCUCUACUUUUAGUAGUACGGGCCCAUACUACCUUCCACAUCUUUUUGUACUUUCCUCAAGUACUGCCUCGACUCCACCAAGUCCCUUCUACUACUAUUGUUGAUCUCUUGCUAAUCUCAUCCUAGGCUUUCCCUAGGGUAAUCACCAACCCACUCUUCGACGUCAGCUGGAUAAGAAGUCCCUGCCUUAUUCCCCUAACUAGCUUGCGAAUACUAUUACAUAUUACUCAGACUAGAUAAUUCUUCGAAUGAGAGAUCCUACCCUACAACGGUUGGACUCAAACAAGAGCUACAAAAUAGAGCUAGACCUAACCUUCUAAAAUUAUUUAGUCUUUGCAAUAUGUAACUUAAAUAUAUUCGUUUACUAGUUAGUGAAAGACAACUAGAACUCCUAAAAGCACAAAGCAAGCAACAUUCGGGUGUUGAGUACACAUAAUCAAGCAUAUACUACUCUGGCUACAUACUCACUAAUAUGUACUAGCAUGCAAUUCUCAAUAAGCUGGUACACAUAUAACAGGCACAUAAGGCAUCCUUCCUAGAUCCUUAGCCCUAAACUGACAUGCAGUUCUCCUAAAGUUGAUACUCAUAUUAUAAUAUGAUCUUGUAUGGGUAAUUUGGUAGUACUUACUUAAGCUCAGCUGAUUGCAUGCAACACACCUUUUUCCUUUUUCAAAGUUCUUUUCUUUCUAAAAUUUUUUUUCGUUUUUCUAAAACUCUUUUCUUUUGAAAACUUUAUACCACAUCCUUAGUUUGAGUUCAGACACACCCAAAAGUCUGGCCGAAUCCCUCAAACCAAGGCUCUGAUACCAACUUGUAAAAUCCCAAAAACACAGUCUGAAAAUUUCGUUUAAUUUAAUAAUAAAAACCGUAGUCAAUAAACCUCUUUAAAAAAUCAUAAGAAAUGUAUCUCAAAAUAUUAUAAAAACUGUCAAGUAUAUUAGAGUCUAAACAUCCCAGGCUGAACAAAUGGUGUGUGGACUGUAAUUUCCCCGAGCUCCUCUUUUGAAAACUGAGUACCUAAAACCAAAACUAAAAUUGUAAGCACGAAGCUUAGUGAGCUCCCCCAAACUGCCACAUACCAUAAAAUAACAUAUAAACACAUAUUGGGCCUUGCCCACUGCAUCGUACCGAAGUCAGGAAACUGCAUCAGAACGAAGUCCAGAACUGACUGGGACCCCAUCCCCUGCAUUGGACCGAAGUCCGGAACUAACUGCAUCAGACCGAAGUCUGGAACUGACUGGGACUCUGUCCCCUGCAUCGGACUGAAGUGCGAAACUAACUGCAUCCAAGUGAAGGCCGGAACUACAUCAGACCAAAGUUCGAAACUGACUGGGACCCUGUCCCCUACAUCGGACCGAAAUUCGGUAAGUGACUGAACAUAGCUUAACAUAAACAUAUCAACUGGCAUGACUACAUAUACUGCACACUGCAUCGGACCAGAGUCUGGAACACAUAACACAAAACAUGCUUGAAUCACAAAGACAUCAAGCACUCUAACUACUGCAUCAGACCGAAGUCCGAAACAAGUAACAUAUAACAUGGAAGCUAAAUCACUGCAUCGGGCCCCGCUCGGUAUCGGACCGAAGUCCGGUACUACUAACACCUAAACGGGCCGGCAUUGUGGCCUUAGACCCAUUCUACUAGAAGAGGACUCACCUCACACUACUGAAGUCCUACUGACAAACCAUAACUGCUGGAUGACAGAUUCCCGAUCUGUCAAUAUCAAAAUAACACCCAAUUAAUAAUUCGGUUCCACUACAUAACUAUAAAUACAUACUUUGGAUAAUUACUACAUUACCCCUAUCUUGGCUUACCCAAGCCCAAAGCCCAAUCCAUAGGCCUAAAGUCAACUAGGGAUCAGAGACCAACACAUGGCCCAACUUUCCAAAUUGGGCCCAAAUCUCCACAUGGACUUCCCUUAAGUCCCAAUUGUUUAGUCCAAUCCAACAUGUCUCAUUCUAAGGCCCAAUAUCAUACAAUCAUCUAGGCCCAAACUAUGGCCCAAUUUUCCAAAUUGGGCCCAACCCUUCAUAUGGGCCUUACCCUAAAGCCCAACUAAUUACUCUAGUCCAUUUGAUUAUUCUUGGAUGUCCCAACACAAAGCCCAAGUGAAUAUUAAGGUUUUCUCACUUAGCCCAUUAAGGUCUUAAUCCAUUAAGUCCUUUACUCUACUAGAUAGUUAAUAUGGAGAAAUUGCGCUUAAUACAUAAUUCAAUCUCAAUGGCACAAAAGUAGGUCCAAUAAGUCCAAGGCCUAAAUACUCACAGUUAGGGUUUUGAUCUAAACAUGGCCCAAUAGGCCCAAAAUUAAUCUUUAAACCCAUUAGGGUAUUGGCUAGGUCCAUUAGGGUUUUGCUUGUGGGGAACCACCCACUACCACCUCGGGUAGUGGUGCUCAAUCGGCGGUACACGGCGGCGGCUACCACCUUAUGGUGGUAGUUACUAUUAUUAUUUUCAUUAUUUCAUGCUAAUUACAAUUACAAGCCUUUCAUCCAAAAUACACACUAACUAAUACACACACAUAGCCACACCAUGGUGGCCAGCAAAAUAGGGCAGAGACGGCAACCCAGCGGCAUUAAUAGCAAUAGCCACCAUGGCCAGCCGCCAUGGUGGUUCUUCCCAGUUGUCGGCGAACAACCCAGCACACAAUAGAUCUGGAAACGACCUCCCGCCAGGUAGCGCACGACGACCGGCAACAGCACAACCUUGGUAGUCGGCGACAGAUACUACAUCAGUGGGAGAAGGUGGCAGUUGGACAGAUGGCAGCGGCUGGAGAAGGCAUCGGAACCGCAACAGUGAAACACCGGGACAACAUCCAUUGCACAUCGUCGCUGGCAACAGAACGGUAGCAACAUCGGCGCCAACUGCCGGAGAUAGCGGCGGCAGGCGCUAUCGACUUAUUACACUUCAUCACCGCCGGCACAAGUACUCCAUGUUGGUUCUCAUUGCUGCCUGUGACAAGGGCUGAUCGAUGGUGCAAGGUGGUCGGAAGAGGAAUGGGUGGAUGGUGGCGAUGGCGCCGGAGGCAAGGAAGAGGUGGGGUGACGAUUGCCUCUCUUCUUAGGGUUAAGGAUUGGCACCCGGUGAUGUUGGGUUAUAUACUUGACUCACGAAACUUUGCCCCAUAAUGACAAAUUAAGCCCUUCCUUUCCCUCAUUUCUAUCAAAGUAAUCCAUAUUUUACACUUUUAACCCUACCUUUAGAAAUCUAUACAACUGAAUCCAAAACUUACCUUUUAAGCCUUGAUCCCAUAAAUUUCUUUCAUAAUAGACCCCUAAAUUACCAGUAAACCCUUCAAUCUUCAAAUCUUUUCUAUUUAGGUCCAUAAAUUACCAAACGCACCCUAACCUCCAAAAUCCUUUUCAAUUUAGUCCCGAACUUACACUUUUAACCCUUGACUUUCAAAAUUCUUCACAAAUUAGUCCGGGACAUAGAUUUAUCAAUUUAUUUAAAUAAACGAGCGUUAUAGCAACCCUCUCAGAAAGGCCUUUGAACAACAGAGUGAAGAGGCCAUUCCAUUAAGGAGGAAGUCAAGACUUCUUGACUUUAGUCACUGUCGUGAGGAGUUCUGUAUACCCCAUAUUGUAGAACAUUGAAAAGAGCUGAGCAGUGGUGAUGGAGUCAGGGAUGACCAUGGAGGCUUCGUAAGAAAGCUUUAGAAGUGAGCAAAAAUAAUACUCGGAAAUCGACGUCUUUUGAUCUAGAAUGUCAAAGAAAACCCUCUCUUUUGUCUUGUCGUAUGUUGCAGUAGAGUACACCCGAGAGAGAAAAGACAUUGGAUCUGAUUCAACCUGCGUCAAUGAUAUAAAAAGUGGAGAGUACUUGAGACAUUCCACCAUAUUAAGCAUAUAUAGAUCAUAUACAAAUGAUGUGAUAUCGAUCAGAAGGUUCUGAUUCGCCUUGAUAGAGAUAAGAGUCGAUCGAGCAGAAGUCUCGUGCACUGAAGAAGAUUCUGCCAUUGUUGAAGCUCAAUGAAGAAAGAUGAUGAACAGUGGAGGAAAAAUUGUCAGUAUUUGUCUUUGAGAAGUAUGAGAGCGGUAAAAGGGUAAAGGUAAUUUGAGAAAACCCUUUAUACUGUUAACUAGAAGACAAAAACAAAUCGCAAUAAUAUCACAGGAGAAAACAUCUCAAUCGACGCCUAGGAAAUUGUGAUUGGACAACUGUUACAGCGAAAAAGGCGAUGACAGGCGUGACAUCAGCUAUCGUUUCAAAUUCACGUGCCUUUCUAUGUUUAUCUCAAAAUUGGUUUCCGAUUCUAGACCCUUGAAAUUCAUGCUGACUCAUCCUUUUGCUUUUAAAAGAGUCCAUUCUAUCAUAAUGAACCGUAGCUACAUUUCUGAAAAUAGAACCGCACUUUGGAAAAUCAAAGAUCUCUGUGCAAGAUAGUGUCAAAUAUAAAGAAAUAAAGGAAAUAAUUUGUGAGAUAUAUGUGAUGUCUAGGAAGACAUAAAAAGUGGAUCCUGGGCACGAAUCUCUACCUUCAAAGUUAAGAGAGACUUCAAAGUGCUUAUUUGGUUUCCCGUUGAAUUACGAUCAAAUGCCUGUAAAGGGAUAUUGAAAGGCAUAUUUUCAUAUAAAGCUAUUAGGGUGGCUUUCGCUUCAAUCCAUACAUGGGUACUUGACAUAAGACCGAAAAUGGAAGAAGUACUUGUGAGACCGGUGUAGCCUGUUAAAAAAGUAGGUUUGGGUCUUUUUCAGUGACUUGGUGAUAUAAAUAGGAAAUCUCAAAAACAAAACUAGAACUAGAUCUUAUGUCAAGAAACAUCUUGGUGUUAGACAAUUUCAUAAAGAUCACACAAAAAUAAAAGGAGAUUUCUUGAGAUAACAAGUAAUAGCUUGAACGUGUAUGUGAUCACCGUUAAUUCAUUUAAGGUGUUGGAUUUUAGGUUUCACUUAGCACUUGGUGAACAUAUCUAAGAUCAUCAACACAGAUGUUGUGUAACCAUAAACCUCAGUGGAAAUUGCUGAGAGUCUCAAGGGUUACAAUUGUGGAGCGAAACGAGAUGGACAAAUAAGAUAAGGUGGUUAAGGAGUCGUAAGUGCCUAUGCUAUUUGAGAAUGACAAAAUAGAAAACUGUUAACUCAAAAUGACAAGAGUAAGGUAGCUCAUGACUUGAGUGAAAUUAGCAGCCUAAUUGGGAAGAAAUGAUUGGUUUCGAUCGAAUCAUUAAGGCUUCACUCACAGUCUUGGAGGCUUCGGUCUACAUACAACAACAUGCUUCUAGGGACACUUAACUAGUACAAAGAUAGAAAUAUCAUACCUGCCCUGGAUCCAAUUGGUAUAGCUUAUGUGUUCUUCAAACCUUAGGUAGAAAAGAAACAAGAACAAAACAAAACACAAAAAGAAAAUAUUUUUGAUGUUUUGAAAAAUAAUAAAAAUAGAAAAUAUUUUUGAAUUUUAUUAAAAGUAAGAGAAAAACAUAAAAUAAAUUAAGAUACAAUAAAGUGUACAAAAGAUACAACUGAAAUGUCACCAUUGUAUAUGAGGCGAAAUGGACCGAGCAUUCAGUUCAUUUUGGUUCCCGAAAAAUCAGGACCCGAAAUAGACCGAGCGUUCGCUCUAUUUCACUUCCAACUUUUAAUGACGUGAAAGCGAUUUCAGUAUGGAUUCAGCUUCCAUCAUUCCUAAGCCUUGUAAGAUUAUAUUAAAACUUGCUUCAUGCAAGGCUUUUGUAAAGAUCUCAGCUAAUUGAUCAGUGGUUCUUACAAAAUGUAUUUCGACAUUACCGUGUUCCGCGUGAUCCUUAAUAAAAUGAUACCUCCGUGGUAUAUGUUUCAUUUUGGAGUGUUGCAUUGGGUUGUGACAUAUCCUUAUUACACUUUCUAAGUCACAAUAUAAUGGAAUUUUCUUCAUGUUCAGGCCAUAGUCUCGAAGUUGGCUUUGUAUCCAAAUGACCUGUGAUGUACAUGAUGUUGUAGCUAUAUACUCUGCUUCAGCUGUAGAAAGAGACACAUAGGUUUGUUUCUUCAAUUACCAGCUGACAAGUUUGCCAUCAAGGAACUGGCAUUCUCCAGUAGGGCUCUUUCGGUCCAAUCCACAUCCUCCUAGAUCAGCAUUAGAGAAUGCCUUGACAAAGAAUUUUGAGUUUGAUGGGUACCAUAGACUGAGAGAAGAGGUUCGCUUCAAAUAUCGAAAGAUAUUCUUCACACCCAAUAGGUGAGGUUCACAUUGAUUAGCUUGAAACCUGGCACAAUAACAAACAGAAAACAUUAUGUAUGGUCAACUUGUUGUUAGAUACAUCAAGGACCCUAUCAUUUGAUGAUAGAGGGUCAUGUCAGCAACCGGUUUUUCUAGAGAAGGUGUUAACUUUGUGCCAAACGCCAUAGGAACCUUCACUUUUGAGUAUCCCAUCAUUCCAAACUUGAAUCUCCCUUCUUUGUCCAUUUUGUUUCGAAAUACCCAUUUCAGUCCAACUACAGAUGCAUCCUUUGGUGUAGAAAUUAGUCUCCAUACCUUGUUUCGCUCAAACUCAUUGAGUUUGUCUUGCAUUGCUUGUAUCCAAUCAUAGUAAUCGAGUGUAGUGUUGACAGUCUUCAGUUCAAUUUUGGAGACAAACGAAUUAAACAUGCCAAAUUCCACUUGAGAGAAUAAUGUAGUUUGCUUCGCUUUCAGUUGAGAAUGAGUAAGAACUCUUUCUGAUGAAUCACCAAUGAUUUGUGUUUUUGGAUGAUCUUUUGUCCAUUUGGUGAGAGGAGGGUAAUUUGAAUCAUAGGAGGGAUACAACUCAACAUUUACUUCUUCUUCCAAUUCCGACUGAGUAUCAUCAUCAUUUGUAUUUGCAUUCUCCCCCUUAAAUGAUGAGACAGUUUCGGCUGCAGGCAUGGAAUUCUCCCCCUCAAUUGGACGUUCGGUUGAUAUGGUAGUUGAUGGUUUCUCCCCCUGGAAUGGUAAUUUAGGGUUAUCGGAUGAAGAUGAACCCUCCCCCUGAAAUGUAGAACUUUUUUUUGGAGGUUCGCUUUGACUGGCCUAUUUGGUAGUUCUCGGUUGUUCUUUUUCCAUAUCAUUCGCUCCGUCAUCAAUGAUUUGCUUCACAGUAUCAAUCUCUUUGUCAGCUACCUUUGCUUUAGAGUGAAUAGCUUUCUCUGGUUCAUCAAAUAAUGACAUGUAUUGCUCAAAUAGAUUUUAAAUGGAAAUAGUGACUUCACCAAAUGUUGGAAAGAUUUCCUCCAUUGAACGUUCGGUUGUUUGAAGCUUUUUGGCGUAGUUGUCAUCAAAGGUGACAUAAUAGGUUUAUUCAAUUUUCUUGGAAUGUUUGUUUAGAAUCCUAUAUGCCUUCGAGUUUAAUGAGUAGCUAAGAAAAUGUUGGAUUAGUGUCUAAGUCCAUAACUAUUUUGGUAUGUACUUGACCCGAUUAUGAGCAUGGUCCUUUUGGGUUGCCUUCAUCAUAGCAAUAUGUAGGAUGAAUUAAGGAGAGAAAGGUUUAAUUAUCAUUUAUUAAUAUAUUAUGAGAAUAAUAUAUUAAAGGAGAAAUCAUAUUUUUUAAUUAAUAUUAGUCAAGAAUUAAUUGAUAAAUAAUUUUGUGGCUAAUAGAGAUUAAUUAAACUUAGGGGACUGCAGUUGUAAUUAUAAGAUAAUUAUAAUUGGGCUAUGGAUCACUUAAUAAAAUAUAGGUUGGACGAAUUCUAUGGAAAGCCCAUUAGAAAUCGUCCAAGGGAUAUGUUGAAGGAGUCCAUGGGCUGCUUAGGGCUUAAGCAGUCAGAUUAGGGUUUCCUAGUUGUAAACCCUAAUAGCCUACAUGUAUAUAAAGGACCCUUAAGCCCCAAAAACGUGGAGAACACUUCCUUUAGGGUUUCUAGACGUUUUGGGCAGCCUCCUCUCUUCUCCUCUUCAUCCAGGUUGCUUAGUGGUGUUUGUGACUCCAUUAGAGGUGCAGCACUUGAGGCACUAAGCUUUCUAAGGCCAAUCCAAGCAAGGAAUUGAUUGUUAUUGUUAUAUAACAAUCAAAGGUAAUUCUCUAAACCCUAAUUCAGUUUAUUAUAUGUUAGAUUAGGGUUUAUUAGUCUUGGAUUCAUUGCAUGUACAAAAGAGAAACCUAGAUCCAAGCAUUAGGGUUUGUAUGAGCACAUAGGAUUGUUCUUAUGCCUAAAACCCAUCAGUGGUAUCAGAGCCUUGAUUGGUUUCUGUUGUAUGUGUUGCAAUUGUCGAAUUCUUGCUGAAAAAAUGAUUUUUUGGCCUCUGCCCGACCUGAUUCGGCGAGUCAGUGGAUGAACUCGGCGAGUCAGUCUGACUCGGUGAGUCCAGUCCCAGACUCGGCGAGUCCAGGGGUCAGAUAGAGGGAAUAUCGGGAUUUCUUGUUGUUUUGCUGAAGGAUUAAUACCAAAAACGUAUUUUGAUGAUAAAAUCCGAUUUUUAUUAUAUUUGGAUGAUUAUCCUUCAUAAAACAAAAGAUAAUUUCAAAUCUUUUGAAUAAUAGUUUCCUUAUUAGUAAAUAUGGAUUAUUUAAAUUAUUUGGUAAUUAUCUUAUGAAUAAAAUGAGAUUAGGUCAAAUAUAGAUAAUCACCAAAUUAAUUGUUUAUUAUGUUAUUUGUUAUAUGAUCCCUUAUGUUUUGAAAAGUUUCAAAACUUGCCCUCCAGUUUUGGAAUUUAUAUUUUGAUUAAAAAGUUUAAUUUUGAAAUAUUUAAAUUCUGAACCCUAAUGUUUUGAAAUGUUUCAAAACUUGCCCUCAAGUUUUGGAAUUUAAAAGUUGAUUAAAAGUUUAAUUUUGAAAUGUUAAAUUCUAAAACCCUAGUAAUUUGAAAAGUUCAAAUCACACCCUUAUGGUUUUAUUAAUUAAUUAAAGUGUAUAAUUAAAAGUGAUUUAAUAAACCCAUAAAGUUUUGGUUUACAUUUAAUUAAAUUAAAAGUAUAAUUUACUAAAUUAAACCACCUAGUAUUUUAAAAGUGUAAAAUACACCCUAUACUAUAUAUAACAUUAAAAGUCUAAUAUUAUAUAUAUGUAUGAGUAAACAGUCAGUCUUACCAUUAGUAGGCCUCAUUCACGAAGCUGGUCUAUAAGGGGUGUUUAAGGAAAUUGCCUAUAAAAUGGCGAUUGAAUAGGUAUCCACUCUUACCCACCGCACUCUUGACUAGUGAAGGGUCGUUAGUCGGACGGGUAGGAUAGCACAGAAACGUUCCAUUAUAAGUAUAAUGAAGUACAAAGUAACUAAAUGCUUAUACGAAUUCCCAAAUCAUAGUUACUUUAGGCAAAAUGUGAAAUUGUAUGCUAACCCAUGGAAUUACACUUCGUACCCUUGUCAAACGUUAGUGGAGCGUGUGUGGUUAACCGGAACACUAAUUUGGGGACGAAAUUGGUGGUGAAGGGUGGCUCGAUGUUUAUCAUAGAUCAAUGGAGCGUGUGUGGCUAACCGGCACAUUGAUUAGGUGAUAGUAGCAUCGGGUGCACCAUGUGAUUCGUAUGGUUAUUCACACCUUGUUUGUGAUCCUCAGCAUCUCAGUCACAAAUAGUAGGGCAUAAUCAAGAUUAAACAUGCCAUUGGAAAGUUCAAUGAAUCUCAAAAGACCUAGGAGCUUCAAUUCAUUUAAAACUUAAACUUCUUUUUCGUUUUUCAUGGUGGAAAUUGGUAAAUCGUCAUUUACCUACCUUCAAAUAUUCUACAACUAGAUUACGACAUCCCUCUUCUAGGUUGUAGAAUAUUGUGUUGGAUCCUAGCUUGAUGUUUCAUUUGGGUGUUACAUCAAGAAUUCUAAUCAACUUAACUUGAAUUUUCUCCCGUUUUGUAGAUGUCUGAAUCUUACAAUGGUCUUCCCAAAUCCUUUGGAACAAGCUUUCCAAAUGAGGAUGACGUUCUGAGAUACGAUCAAGGAAAUGAGAGUCAUGCUUUACUUCCUCCACCUCCUCCAAUUGUUCUCCCUGACCCACAAGUUCGAAGGCUUGAAAAGUUCAAGCUCACUCAAACCCUUUGGGCAAGUAAACACAAAGAUGGAAAAUCCGUGUGUGCACACAUCUUAGAGAUGAAGUCACACAUUGAUAAGUUAAGCAUGUUGGGUGUCAAGAUUUCAAGUGAGUUGGCAGUUGAACGGGUUCUUCAGUCACUUCCUAAAUCAUAUAGUGAGUUCGUUAGAGAGUACUAUAUGAUGGAUCACGACGUGACCCUCAUUGAUCUCACCUAUUUGCUUAUAGCUGCUGAAUCAACAAUGAUUUGGCGUGUUGGUCAAGCAAAUUUGUCUAGUGAAUCAAACUCCCAAACUUCAAUGGACACUGGCAACAUUGGAAGUCCAGAAAGAACUAAGUUUGUGAUUGUCCGGUGUGGUGUUCCAAAGGAGUCCGUUUGCUUUUAUUGCCAAGAGAAGGGGCAUUGGAGACGUAGCUUCCCUAACUACCUGAGGGAUCUAAUAGAUGGGAGAGUCAAGAUGUAUGGCUCUACUUCAGGUAAAAUCCAUUAGCUAACUCUUUUAAGUUCCUAUUCUAGAUUCUUAAUACAUUAUGUGAUAAGAUUACAUUUUGAUGUUUGGUUGGAUCGAAGAAAAGAGAGGAUGCUUAAGGGAAGAAGUGAGCUGAAUCUAAUUGUAAAGAAAUGGAUUUCGAUCGCAUUGCUUGAAGAUUAGACUCUUGAGCUACUACUUGGAGUUAGAAUAAAUUGUUAAGAAAGAUGUAAUAUCAUAGUUUUUCAAUUGAAUUGCUUUGUAAGGACAAAAUUUUCCACAAUAAAAAUGAAUUUUGAUUUUGUCUUAUUUAUUUAUCCUUCCAAUGGCAUGUAUGAAAAAAAUUGAUGUUUUUGAAGGUUUUUAUUAUUAGCAAUAAUGGAUUUGAUUCUUAAUUGUAUUAUUUGUGGGAAUGUCGAGAAUUUACCAAAUAGGGAGAGUUUCUCAUCGCCCAAGUUUCAAGUGGACAGAAACUUGGAAUCAUGCAACGUGUAUUGUAUGAUGAAUGAAAAACUUUCACAUUUGGGAAAUUUAGACUAAUUCUUUGACAAAGUGUCAAUUGAAGGACUAGGAGAUCGAGUACACUAGGUCGUAUGUUGAUCAAGUCUACCACAAGAAUGAAGAAGAUAUCCGUCAUGAUUUACUAAAGUUUAGUAAAUAUGGUUAUAUUUAUAAGAUUAAGUGUAAUUCUGAGUUAAUUGAAAAGGUUUCAAUAAAUAGCAGAACGAUUAAAGAAGAAUCAAGUAGGCAUAAAGAUAAAGGUUUCUCUGUUCUAAGAAAAAGGGAGAGUACUUUUAUUGUGUUAGGUCUUAAUGGUUAAGAACCAUAUCUCAAUUGAUUCUAUAAGUGAGUCUUAGUACAUUUAUAUGUCUAAGAAGACGAAUCAAGAAUUGUGGAAUUGGUUAAAUCAAGAAGUUAAUCAUAUUCGUUCCAAUAUCGAAUCUUAGAGUCAUACUCCAAGAUUUCGAAUGGAGUGAAAAGUCUUUAGUAGGUUUAUAACAUUUAACGAAUGUGGGAAUUUGGAAAAGUGUUCUUAUUCUUGCACAUUAGAAAUUGGUAAGUUGUGCUGUCUUGGAAAAGGCAAAGACCAACUAGGACCAAUUUGUGAAGUGUUUUGAUAAAAGCUACACUAACUCUUGAAUAUUUGUUUGUCAAGAAAUGUUUCUUGAUACGAGAACCUUAUAUGUCAAGGAGUCAGUGGGAGUUUUAAUGUUUUUGAAAAAGGUUUCGAAAACAAAUCAAGAAUAAACCUUAUCGAUCAUCACUGGCACACGACUUCAGGUUUACAACCUAUCGUGUUGACAUUAUUUUGUUUCGGUGCCAUUCCAAUUGAGUUAAUUAUUCAUGUGAGUUCUAUGAGUUCUCAUUUGAAUGCAUAAAGACAAAUCACAUUGAUCAAUGGAAAGUACAUUGAUAUGUAAGGAUAAGUUGCUAAACUACUUGGAAGACAUGGUGGGCACUCAUGUUACCAUAAGGCAAGAAAUCAAGAUUAAGAAAGUUCAGUCCAUAUGAGUUUGGAUUUGUCACAGACUUUGGUUUUGGCAAAUUCACAUGGAUAGGAACUCAUACACCAUAAAAUCUAAGUGUCAUAAGAUUCCCUCCUUCAUGAAAAUUAUUGUGAGGAAAUGCUUUCACUAAGAGAGAUUUUAAGAAGAUGGCGAUUGUGAAAAUUGUAUUCUCAAAUUUGAUUAUGGUUACGGCAUCCCUUUCCAUAGUUCGAGUUGUGAGAUUUGGCAAUUAGUUUGAACAUUUGGAACUUAGUAACAUAAGUUCUGAAUUGAUUAAACACACGUAUGAGCUAUCUAAGGCAAAGGUGUAUAAGUUUAAAAAGCUUAGAUAAAGGCUUAUCAAAGCAUCUGGUAUUAGAAAUACGAAUUUCAGAAAUUCAAUAGGCAUUGUUUUCUGGAAGUUCAUUUGUUUUCUGAAUACAUGUCAAAGCUAGUGGGAGCAUAAGUGUUAUGCUUAUAUGAUAGUAAUCAUCAUGAUAGUGGGAGCAUAAGUGUUAUGCUUGUAUGAUUAUUAUGGAAAGUAUUGCGAGUUAGCAAUAUUAAUUAUAGAAAAACAAAGAUUCAAUUUACAAAGUUGCAUGGGUUGAAAAUUUGUUUUGCUAUUAUCAAGGGAGAGAAUAUUAUACUUCGUUUCAAAAUCUAAAGCUUAAACUGAAAAAAAUUUAAUAUUUUUAGUCAAAGGAUACAUUGCGUGUUCUCAAAUUUCGAUUAUGAUUACGACAUCCCUCUUUAUAGUUCGAAUUGUGAGAACAUGACACAUAAAAUAUUAUGGCAUAAGAUUGGUAAAGUAUCAUAUCUUUAUGUAAGACAUUAUGCAUCGUGUCCCAUAAGCUUCGAGUAUAGGAUCGAUUGAAAAUGCUAUAAUAUUUUACCAUUCUAAAAUUUUCCAAAUGUCUAGCGCAUUAAGAGGGAAAAAGGACUAGAAUUGGUUUUGACUAAAAUAAUUAAACAACUAUCAAAGGACGAUCCAAAGUUCGCUGAAGAUUGGUCGCUUGUGAGUAGUUGGAAGUAUGGUAUUGGAUGGACCAUAUCGACGUUAUUAUAAAUAGAUAAGAUUCUAUUAAGAUUGAGUUGUCAUAUGGCAAAUGUGGAAAUGUUUCCAUAUUGGGAGUUGGAUAUUGAGAGUCUAUGUCUAGAUUAGAAAAUUUUAUGCGAGAAGGGUGUUUAAAGGAAUGUACUUUGAAUGUGAAACUUCGCGUCUAUGGAAUUGUGUUGUAACAAUUUCUAAGAGAGUACUUUGUAAUUUCAUUAGCCAAGUCUUGGUGACUUUUGUGCUAUGACUUUACGAAAGGAUCGUUGCAUAAAAUGUUAGAAUCUAGCAUAUUCUACUGGUAGCUAAGAACCUUGUGUUCUUACACUAAUGAUAAGGAUUGAGAAUUGAGAAAUGAGCAUCAUUGGAAAAGUUUUCAAUUGAUCUAUUUCACAAAGCAUAGACCAUAGGAAACAAAGUGUGCAUGCUUGGAGCAUGGAACAAUCGUUGUUGUAAUUCAAGUAAUGAGUUGAUUAUUCGAAACAUUAAAUGAUAAAUAAUGAGUAACCAAUAUAGUGGAUAAAUAGAAGUGUUUUAUUUACUCUCACAAGUUUGGGGCCAUAUAGGAUUAACUAUUAUUAUUAUGUUUCAGUUUGCAUGUUUUGACUUCCAGAAUAACUAGGUUAUUCAAACAUCCACAGUCGGUCAUACGUUGGGAGUAGGUAUGAAGGAAGACUGUCAUGAAUCUAUCUGUAGAUUGUUUGAAGUGUUUAGACAUGGCACAAGUUUACUACAGAGUUUAUGAGUGCUUUGAUAAGAUUAGAGUAUUGGAUUAAACCCACGCUCACUUGGAUCACUUUAUGGAUUUUAUCCCAAGUGAUUAGUGAGAUGAUAAUAUUGUAUAUUCUUGAAACUGAGACGUGUGAGUUGUUAUUUGCUGGUCGGUUACACAUUGAUAAUAAGUAAACGCACCAGUAACUUGGUGUUAUAAAACUUAUUGUUGUGUGUGAUUCGAUCAGUAAAUUCAAGCGAGCAUUUGAGUCGAAGUUUAUCCAUUCCUUUUACCCAAAGUAGGAUAAAAGCGGUAUAUGUGGGCCUCUCGAUGAUUUAGUGAUGAAACCUAAGCGCUUGGCCAAGCCGGGACUAAGUUGAUGUGUUAAGUUGUAGUCUGUAAACAGCCGUCAUAAAUCGGAAGUCGGGAAAUAGUAUAGAGAGAAUGAUUAAAAUUCAUGUCUUAUGUCUAUAUGAUAUCUUGAGAAUGGUGGAAUAUAUGAUCCCUUAUCUAAAGCACACACUAUCUGAUAAGAUCAGAGUUGACAUCGACUUUUGAAAGCUACAAUUGCUGAUCAGGUUCUGAAGUCACAUGGAAAAUAGUUAUUAGACUUAUCCAGAGAGAAGACUGUUGGAUUAGUGUCUAAGUCCAUAAUUAUUUUGGUAUGUACUUGACCCGAUUAUGAGCAUGGUCCUUUUGGGUUGCCUUCACCAUAACAAUAUGUAGGAUGAAUUAAGGAGAGAAAGGUUUAAUUAUGAUUUAUUAAUAUGUUAUGAGAAUAAUAUAUUAAAGGAGAAAUCAUAUUGUUUAAUUAAUAUUAGUCAAGAAUUAAUUGAUAAUUAAUUUUGUGGCUAAAAGAGAUUAAUUAGACUUAGGGGACUGGAGUUGUAAUUAUAAGAUAAUUAUAAUUCGAUAUGGAUCACUUAAUAAAAUAUAGGUUGGACGAAUUCAAUUGGAAGCCCAUUAGAAAUCGUCCAAGGGAUAUGUUGAAGGAGUCCAUGGGCUGCUUAGGGCUUAAGCAGUCAGAUUAGGGUUUCCUAGAUGUAAACCCUAAUAGCCUACAUGUAUAUAAAGGACCCUUAAGCCCCAAAAACGUAGAGAACACUUCCUUUAGGGUUUCUAGACGUUUUGGGCAGCCUCCUCUCUUCUCCUCUUCAUCCAAGUUGCUUAGUGGUGUUUGUGACUCCAUUAGAGGUGCAGCACUUGAGGCACUAAGCUUUCUAAGGCCAAUCCAAGCAAGGAAUUGUUUGCUAUUGUUAUAUAACAAUCAAAGGUAAUUCUCUAAACCCUAAAUCAGUUUAUUAUAUGUUAGAUUAGGGUUUAUUAGUCUUGGAUUCAUUGCAUGUAAAAUAGAGAAACCUAGAUCCAAGCAUUAGGGUUUGUAUGAGCACAUAGGAUUGUUCUUAUGCCUAAAACCCAUCAGAAAAACCCCUUUGUCAGCGUCGACAUCAAACUUGUUUCGGUGCACCUUAUAAUUAAAAAUAACGCAUCUGGAACCGAACACAUGGAAGAACUUGACAUUUGGAUUACGAUUGUUCAAGAUCUCAUAUUGAGUAAUAGAAAAACGCUUGUUGAGAAGAGAUAUGUUCUGUGUGUAGCAAGCAGAAGCAAUUGCAUCAGCCCGAAAAUAUAAAGGCAAUGAGGCAAAACUGAGCAUGGUGCAGGCUGCUUCACACUACGAGUGGUUUCACCUUUCAAUGACACCAUUUUGUUGUGGAGUGUAGGGAGCAGAAAAGUUGUGAGAUAUGCCGUUUUCAGCAAUUCAAAUUCAUUGUUUUUGAACUCCAGCCCAUUAUCACUUCGAAUAUUUCUCACCAGCUUUCGCAGUUGAAGCUCUAUUUGCUUGACAAAAACCUUGAGCUUUGGUGUAGCCUCUGAUUUCUGAUUAAGAAUGAACACCCAAGUGAAACAAGAAAAAUCAUCUACUAUUACUAGUAUAUAUUUGUAACCACCAAUGCUUUCAAUAGCCGAAGGUCCACAUAAAUCUAUAUGUACAACCUCAAGUGGUUCGAUGAUCUUCGUGUUGACACGUGUUGGAUGACUUUUCCUGCUUUGAUUUCCCAUUUCACAUGCAGCACACAUAUGUUAUUUAUCAAAUUUGAGUAUUUGAAGUCCUCACACAUGAUCACCAAGAACUAGCUUGUUCAUGACUUUGAAGUUGACGUGCGAGAGCCUUCGGUGCCAUAACCAACAUCCGUCUGAGUGUGCUUUCGUUAGCAGACACACAGCUGGCUUUCCUCGAAUGGGAUUGAGGUUCAGUGGGUACAUCUCACCUUUUCUUUUGGAUUUUAAUAGAACCGUUUUGGUCUUCUUCUCUACUAUUUCAGACACUUCAUCAUCGAAUGAAACCUUCAGUCCAUUUCCCACCACCAGUUGUGAAACACUGAUGAGAUUGUGUUGUAAGCCCUCUACGUAUGCUACUUUUCUGAUCGAGAAUUCACCAUUUGUGAUCAUUCCAUAGCCUUUGAUUGUGCUAAAUGACUUGUUGCCAUACUUGAGACAACCACUAUCCAUAAGAGCUCGAAACUCCCAAAACUCUUCCUUUCUCCCUAUCAUGUGACAUGAGCAGCAACUAUCAAUGCACCAUUUGUCGUCGAACUACUCGUCAUGUGUAACCUGCAAAAAUCAAGCAGAUUUAGGAACCCAAAGUUUCUUGGGUCCAUGUGAUUACCAAUUGAUGAGAUAAAAACUCUUUAGAUCGACUAGAUCUUUAACAGGUAAAUAAAUAAGACCAACAAACAAAAGAACAAUCAAUGAAUCAAUCCGUAUGUCGAAUGAUUAAAAUAUUCUCACCCCUCAAAAGAGCUCGAUUAAGAACUGAAGAGAUAAAAUCUCUAAGAUCGUUUAGAUCUUUUACAGGUUAAUCAAUGAAGAACAAACAAUUAUAAUAAACAAAAGAAUGUACACAAGAUGGAAUCAAGGUAAUACUGAAUGAUUCAAAUGUAGUCACGCCUCAACAGAGCUCUAUUAAGAACUUCCACUGUAGAGACGAUCUAGGGUUUACAAUACGAUGAUGAAAAAUAGUAAAAGUCAUAAUUACUAAGGAUACGUGCAUGCACCUUAAAUACUGAAAUCCAAGAAUAAAAGAAAACACGGUUGGACAGGCCCAAACCGGUUACAAAAUUGGGGUAACUAUGACCGAGCCCAAAGAUGCAACAUUCAGAACUCAACAAUCUCCCCUUUAGGUCAAUUGGGGUGAGACCUUUACUUCGGUUGAUUGACAGUUACUCACUUCACUACCUUUAACAAGCUUGGAAUUAUAGCAAGAACAACUUGUCGAAAGUCGAUAUACCAUCUUAUCAUAUAUGUGAAGUACUUCUUAUCGCUUUCACUAUUUUGCUUACAUCUGUGAAUGAUUCCCAGAACAUACUCAAAGCACGAAGUAGUAAAGAGAUGUUUAUCAGUUAGAGCGAACAUGCAUUUCUUACCUUCUUGCAUGGUGAACAUCACCGAGUUCAACUUCAGGUUAAUCUUUCCCAUUUUCAUCUUGUUGACAUCGCUUGCAGAACCAACAGGAAAAAUGGUAGGCUUCUUUCUGAGAACUGAAGCGAUCUCUUGAUCCAUCUUGGCUACCUCUAGAAUGUAGCAGACUAACAUUCUUUUCAGAUGAUCAAUGAUUGGCUCAUACUCGACUGGGUCAGAGAAGAAUGUUGUGUAGAACAAUCCAAUCAUGAGGAUUGAGAUUAGGUAUAUCAGCAAAGGAGAAGGUAUGCUCAGACUUGGCCGAACCUCUGGCAACCUUGAAUUUGAUGUUGAUGAAUUUCCAUGCUACGUGAGGCUUAAGGACCCGAAUUGUGAUAAUUUUUUGAGCACUCCAACUAAGAUAUUUAGGUUGAGCGAACUCCAUAUAGUAGUCUAUUAGCUCAUGAUCAAUCUUCGGGUCUGGAUGAGGUACUACUGCGAAAGGAAGAAAGCAGUGAAAAACAAACGCCUUCCGGGUGAUUGGCAUAUCGAACUGAGAGUCUCUUGUAUUUUCACAAUCCAAAGACACUACUGGCUCAAGCCAAUGAGUGCUAGGGGAAUCGAUGGCUUCUUUGAUUAGCUUUUCCGGAGUCCAGAGCGGAAAGAGGGUUUUCUUGCUUUCUAGGAGAUCAUGAGCCUCUUUUAAUCUUCUUUCAUUCUCUUCAGCUUCCUUUACAAUCUUGGCAUUGAGAUUGAGUUCCCUUUUCCCUUGCCUUUCGCUUCAGAGCAUCAACUAUUGUCUCCUAUUCCUCGUCACUGUCAUCCACAAUACCCUUGCCUUUAUCCUUAAAGCCCGAACCCAAAGAAUGCUCAGUCUUCUGUUGUCCCGGCUGAGUAGUAGGAGGAGGUUGAGACGAAGAUGUUAGUUCUUCUCCCCCUUGUUUCGGAGGUACCAUAGUCUCUGAAACACCUUCGAUGUGACUCAACAUCCCAAGUGCAUGACGGAAUUUUUCAGCAAGAUGACGUCUAACUGAUAUGGUCAAGAUAGGUUCGUCAGUCUCCAGAACGUUCGAUAAAUUGGCGUGUACGUCUGAGACAUAACUUUUGACGACAACCUUUUCAGAAUGAAGGUGAUCUACCUCUUUGUUUGCCUAGGAAAGUUGGAGAUUUUUGUUUUUCAGCUGAGUAGUCUUGAGAGCGAGUUCAUCCAUGAUCGAGCUUUCCAUGGCUACAUCAGCUUGGAGAUUUGUGAGACGCUCAUUGAGAGGGGACAUAAGGGCAACAUUAUCCUUUUGAAUGUUCUGGCGAAGGGAGGCAAAUUGUUACUUCUCAGUAUCAAAGGAUUCUUCAAGUUUGGCAAUGGAGUUGUUCACUUUAGAAGCGUUCAACUCAACUGCUCCUUGUAAAGACUCAAGAAAAAUAUUAGCGUUAUGAAUUUGUUUAUCAACUUUUUCAGUCGCUUCUGUGUAGACUUUGGGUAAGGCUGCAAUUGCAUCUGUGGCUUUAGAGAUUGAUGCUUCAUGAGCUUUGACAAAAGUGUCAACCAUGCUCUAAAUAGAAGCUUCAGAGUAAGGAUGGUGAGAGGAAGAAGAGGCCAUGAGAUUGUCGAUUUUCUCAUUUAGCUCCUUGAUGUGCUUUUUGGUAAUGGGAGCAUCAUCAUCUUCAUCACUCUGAACCCGGUAGGGACUGUAGUAGAAAAAAUCAAAAUCCAUUUCUUCACCACCAAGGACAGUAUUGGUUUUGCUUGAAGGUGUGAGAGAUAGUGGUUUGGAUGUUUCAGGGACUGAAGACCGAACCCCCGUAUCAGAUACGUUGGUCCGACCUUCAGUUGUUGUGGUGGUUGUAGCAUCAGAAAAAAUAGGAGGAGGAAGUGGAAUUGUAGAAGUAGGUUGUGAUUUGAUAACUGGGAAAGUGGGAGGUAAGGAAAUUGGAAUGGAAACAGGUGGAGGAGAAGGUGCGUUUGAGCGAACUGGUACCUCUAGUGUAGGCGAUCGAGGUGGGGUAUCACCACGAACCGAAACCUCCUCAUCAGAGCUUUCGCUUUCGGAUGUGCUAGGAGUGGGUUGUUUAUGUCCAAUAGGGAGAUACUCGGAGUCUGAGUCGCUCGAUGACUGAAGGAUAAGCUUCCAAGAAGGCUUCUUGGUCUUCUUCUGCUUGGGCUGGGAAGGUGCUGCCUUCUCAGACUUUCGCUUCCUUGGAGUUUGCCCCUUAGCUCCUUUGAUAAACCUUUCGUCUUUCUUCUUUUCUUGUUUCUUUCCCCUGUUUUACGGCUUAUCUGCUUCCUCAAUGGAACGAAUAAUUGCAGGUGUGAGUUCCCUUGGGCCCAAAGAUGGAAGCUUCUUGUACUCUUGUAUGACAUUACUCGCCUUAGACACACAAGCAUACAUGGAUGCUAGAAUCGAUCCAAUAAGCAAGUACUUGGACGGAUCAGUGACUAUAAUAGUUGUAGUGUGGAAUGUUGCGAUGGAGGAGAGAAGCGAUUCCGCCAUGAUUGUGACAUGAAAACAAUCCAUCCCCCGUUUUGUGACAAUAGACUAGAACCUGCCACAUGAAACUUCAGAAUGGCGAGAAGAGGAGGAUAAGCUUUGAACAAGAUGUUGCCAUAGGGCCGAACCAAAUUCAAGAUGUACCCCAUUGUACAACCCAUAAAGCAUGGUCAUAAACGACUUGCUUGCCCCAUCUGAUCCAUCGCUUCGCUCUGAGAAACCAUUGAACAGGAGAGUGAAGAGGCCAUUCCAUAGUGGAGGAAGGCAUGAUUUCGUGAACUUCUCCACGGUUGUUAGGGUUUCUGUAUACCCCAUGUUAUAAAACAUUGAGAAUAGUUGACCAGUUGAGAUGGAAUCAGGGUUUACCAUGGUAGGUUCGUGAGCAAGACCUAGCAGCAUGCAUAAUCGAUUCUUGGAAAUCGAGGUCUUCUUGUUGUGAAUAUCGAAGUGGAUACUCUCAGCGACUUUGUCAUAGUGAGCAGUUGAGUAGAUAUGAGAGAGGCAAGACAUGGGAACAACCUCUACCUGUGAGAGAGCGAUGAUAAGUGGAGAGUAUUUGAAGCAUUCCAUAACUUGCAGCAUGUAGGGUUCAUAGGUGAAUGGUGUAAGGUCAAUUAUGAGGUUUUGGUGAGGCUUGAUGGACAGAAGGGUGGAACGAAUAGAGGUGUCUUGAACAGAAGACGAUUCUGCCAUGGAUGUAGCUUGAGAAGAAGAUGAUGAACAGUGAAAGAAAUUGUCGUUUUCCUUUAGGAGAUUAGAAAGCGGUAAAAGAGUAAAGGUGAUUUAGAGAAACCUUUUGUACUUGGGAUUAGGAGAGAGAAAAAUCCACCCAAAAUCUUGUCUUUUGUGAAACGGUUCCUGAUACAGUGGGGAUUAGACAAUUGGCAACCCAUAUGCUUACACAGGAGAGAGAAAACAUUUCAUUUUACGCGUCGUUCCAUACAAAUCGCCUUUUUCAAAAUCGUCAAACGUUUGGAUAUUUGCUGACUCACCCCUUUACUUUAUUUGAAACGUCACCAACAUAAAUAUCAUGAAUCUAUGUCAACUUGAUCAUUUCGUUUGAGAAUCACCAUGUCACUUUUAGAACCCAAGCUACAUAUUGAAAAAUAGCUUAUACAAAAUAGAACCGGAUUUUUGGAAAAUCAAAGAUUUUCACGCAUAGAGUGUGAAAGAUAAAGAAAUAAAUCAAACUUUUUAUGGGAUAGUGUGAUGUUGAUUAAGACAUAAAGUAGUGGAAACGUUCCGGAGCGGAGGACGUCAUGAAUAUCGCAACCAAUGUACAUAGUAAGCGUAGUGAACACAAAACGUUACAUUACAUAGAAUUAUUACAUUUGUUUGAAAUCAAAGCGUUACAAGUUUUAUACACAUAUAUCAUAAGAACAAAAGAUAAGACGGGUCUUCUAUGUACUCAUCAUGGAAGCCUUUGGAGGUGUUUAAGGGCAAUUUAAGACCAUAAAAAGGUGUUUAUGGUCCAUGAAUGAGGGUUUACGGUCCAAGAAUGUUCUUGGGCCGUAAACUCAUGUCCAUACCUCAAUUUGUGAGAUUUUGGGGUCCUAAGCUCAUGCAUGCAAGUUUCUAAGCCAUAUCUAAGCACUAGGAGUGAUUUGGAUGGGUUUUGGGGCAUCAAAACCCUCUUUAGGAGUGUACACGGUUUUGGAAGGGCUAUUAAACCAUAAACACAUGUUAUUGAGUGUUUUGGGUGAUUCAAACAUAGAUUUGCAUGAUAAGAAAGACUAACAACAAGCUAGGAUAGAUUACUUACCAAAUUAAAGCUUGAAAGGGGUUUUUGGAUCAAACUUGAGUUUUGAGAGAGUGAGAGAGAUAGAGAGUAGUGAGAGAAAGUGUUUUAAGAGAGAGAAAAAGCCUCAAAAUGAUGUCACUAAAUCCCUUAUAUAGGGGUUGAGUUUAUGGCCCAGAGAAAUUCUACUCGAUACCGACGUUAAACAGAGCUUUUGGUCGUACCCGAUUAAUUUGCUGUAACUCAACGUGGUCGUAACUAAUAAUUUUCUAAAUAAUAAUUUGGGAUGUUUUCAUGAGUUAACGUGUUUGGAUACCAAUUAAGUCAUAAUAGAAGUCUCAAAAAUAUUGACUUAAUUUAAAAGCUUAAACGGAAACAAUUCGAAAAAGAUGAAUUUUAUGGACGGAAACGGGUUACGGCGAUGGAGCGAACUUCGGGCUCUCACAUGAUCCCCCCGUUAGAGGGAAUUUCGUCCCGAAAUUCAAACUUUAGAUGCGACUCGCGGAUUUGGAAAGAGAUUACGGAUACUUCUGUUUCAUCGGAAUACGCACUCCCAAGUGAAUUCAGAUCCUCGCAUGACAUUCCAGGGAACCUUUCACUUAUCGGGAUACGGCUUGUUUCACACGUUUAAUCUCUUGAUCUAUGAUUUCGAUUGGUUCUACUAUGAGGUUCAGAAUUUUGUUGAUUUCGGUCUCAUCGAAGGGAUUACGAGGGUUUCGCCGAAUAUGUACUUCUUAAGGAUAGAGACGUGGAAUACCGAAUGGAUGGUGCUACGUUCUGUGGGUAGUCGGAGUUUGUAGGCUACGGAUCGAUCCUAUUGAGGAUUUCAAAAAAUUCUAUGUACCUCGAGAUACGCGUUUCAGAAUCUAACAUGCCUUCUUUCUCACCAUUAGCUAUCUUCAUGGUAAACAUUUCAGUUACUAGUUCAGGACUAUGUUUGUGAAGAUGUUCGAAUGAAUAGCUAACAGAUUAUCUUUUAGUACUAGAAUUGAAAAGGAUUGCAAGCAUAAGGGUUAUCGAAGAGGAAUAUACCUGUGGCAACAGUGGGAUCGGCGGCUGCCUCACCUUGUCCUAUAGCUAGGACUCUUUCAGUGUUGCCAGUUGUUGUUGUCUUGGGGAAGUUUCUCUUAUAAUGCCCGACUUUGCCGCAACCGUUGCAGGCCUGACUGAUACCUGCUUCGGAGACUUGAUUGGUUGGUGUUCUACACCUUCACGCAAGGUGACCCUCUUGGCCAUAAUUUUUGCCAAAUUUCACACGACAGGGACCGGGGAUGUGGUGGUGGUAACUGCAUCGGUUACACCACGGGAGAAUAUCGUCAUAUCCGGUGAUAGGUGCUUGGGUUGAGGAACCGACGAUAGAAACAGCAACAGGGGUAGUGGCAGCGUGGACUGCCACUAUCUGCUGUUUCUUCGAGAACUCUUUUGAAGGCUGACUUUUCUCCUUCGUCUCCCAAUAUUAUCUUUUCUCACCACUUCUCUCUGUCGGCUCAGGAGUGGUGGCUGCUUCCUCUAUGUCCUCAGUAUGGUUGAUCAGGAUUUGCGCUAAGCAUUUGGUGCUGUCGUAUGUAUCCGGCAUCGCAGCUAAAACAUUCCAUUUGGUUGGCUGGGUCAACCCCAAGAUAAACUUCUCAAUCUUCUUACUCUCUAGGGUAACCAUCCCCGGACAAAGAAGCACCAAGUCGUCAAACCUUGAAGUGUAAGCGGCGAUAUCAGAACCCUUCAUCUUCAGGUUCCAGAGUUCAUGCUCCAGCUUCUGAAUUUCACCCCGAGGGCAGUACUCCGCGAACAGAAGUUCCUUCAUGACUUCCCAACCCAUAGCAUUGGCUACAGGUAGGGUUAAGGAUUUGACUCGGUUGUUCCACCAAGUCAGAGCUUUAUCGGUGAACAUGCAGGCGGCGAAUUUCACCUUGUCGGAAUUUGAACAAGCAUAGAUCUCGAAGAUAGAUUCGAUUUUUUCUAACCACCGAGUUAGGGCAAUGACACCUCCUAUGCCAUCGAAGAAUGUGGGGUUCGCGUUCAUAAAGUCCUUAUAGGAACACUCCUUCCGGUGUCCCUGGCUACCUUCUUGAUUUUGGGGCUGGGGACCACCUCCUGGACCACCGGGGUUCANUGCCACUGCGGCAGCAACAGCUGCCUGGAACAAUACGAGAUCAAAUUGGGGGAGGAGGUGGUGGCGGAGGGUUGUUGUUGUUCUUUGAGUUGGGUCUCUCACUUGGAGGCAUCUUGAUCUAAAAAGAUCAAGAAAGAGAGGAUGGUAAGUCCUCUGAAUUCAAUUAAGAGAUAUGGAACUAGGGAUACCUCUUUAUGACAGACAUAUAAUUCUAUUAAGCGAUANNNNNNNNNNNNNNNNNNNNNNNNNNNNNNNNNNNNNNNNNNNNNNNNNNNNNNNNNNNNNNNNNNNNNNNNNNNNNNNNNNNNNNNACGCUGGGAUGAGAAUUUCUAUAACGGAUUUGGCUCGAGAAAUACUCCCAUAGUAUUUCAUGUCUCGCUGCAACGACGGCUCGUUGUUUGGGUAUUGGGUAUGUUUUAGGCAUGUCGUAUACCGCAGUCACUCCCAAGUACAUGUUGGCUGUGUCUCGAAUGAAUAUAGUUGGCCAGGCUAUAUUGAUCGUAGACACGACUACAUAACUGCCUUGGUUUAACCGUAGUGUACAACACGCAUUUACUUAUGUUUUGUUCUACUUGUAGUUACGGAUUUCGACGGUUAGGUAUACUUGUAUACUUAUGGAAAUACUUAUAUUUUAAAGUAUACUUUUAGUUCAGAGCACUUAUUCCCCUUAGUGUUUAUAGUCUUAUACCAUGUAACAUUUGGUAUACUAGUUCACUGUAAACAAGGGCUCUGAUACCAAUCUGUCAUACCUCGAAACCGAAGGCGGAAACGUUCCGGGGCGGAGGACGUCAUGAAUAUUGCAACCAAUGUACAUAGUAAGCGUAGUAAACACAAAGCAUUACAUUACAUAGAAUUAUUACAUUUGUUUGAAAUCAAAGCGUUACAAGUGUUAUACACAUAUAUCAUAAGAACAAAAGAUAAGACGGGUCUUCUAUGUACUCAUGGAAGCUCAUGGAAGCCUUUGGAGGUGUUUAAGGGCAAUUUAACACCUUAAAAAGGUGUUUAUGGUCCAUGAAUGAGGGUUUACGGUCCAAGAAUGUUCUUGGGCCGUAAACUCAUGUCCAUACCUCAAUUGGUGAGAUUUUGGGGUCCUAAGCUCAUGCAUGCAAGUUUCUAAGCCAUAUCUAAGCACUAGGAGUGAUUUGGAAGGGUUUUGGGGCUUCAAAACCCUCUUUAGGAGUGUUCACGGUUUUGGAAGGGUUCUUAAACCAUAAACACAUGUUCUUGAGUGUUUUGGGUGAUUCAAAUAUAGAUUUGCAUGAUAAGAAAGAUUAACAACAAGCUAGGAUAGAUUACUUACCAAAUUGAAGCUUGAAAGGGGGUUUUUGGAUCAAACUCGAGUCUUGAGAGAGAGAGAGAGUAGUGAGAGAAAGUGUUUUAAGAGAGAGAAAAAGCCUCAAAAUGAUGUCACUCAAUCCCUUAUAUAGGGGUUGAGUUUAUGGCCCGGAGAAAUUCUACUCGAUACCGACGUUAAACGGAGCUUUUGGUCGUACCCGAUUAAUUUGUCGUAAGUCAACGUGCUCGUAACUAAUAAUUUUCUAAAUAAUAAUUUGGGAUGUUUUCAUGAGUUUCUAACGUGUUUGGAUACCAAUUAAGUUAUAAUAGAGGUCUCAAAAAUAAUGACUUAAUUUAAAAGCUUAAACGAAAACAAUUCGAAAAAGAUAAAUUUUAUGGACGGAAACGGGUUACGGCGAUGGAGCGAACUUCGGGUUGUCACACCCUUUGAAAUACGAUCAUGUACUUAUUAAGAAGCAAUGAAAGGAAUCUUUUAUAUAUAAGGCUUGUAAAGGUGGCUUUCUCUUCAAUUGAAGUUUCGGUUCUUGAUAUAAGACCGAAAGAGAAUGAAUUACCUGUGAGACCAAUGUGGCCUGUUGAAUAAGUAGGUUACACACACAUUCAGUGACUUGUUGAAAAUCCAAUAAGAAAUAUCAAAAAAAAAAUCUAGAUCCUUGGGGAAAAAGAGUCAUGGGGAUAGACAAUUUCAAAAGGAUCUCUCAAAAUAAAAGGAGAUUUCAUGGUAACUCCACAUAGAGUGGUUUCGUUAAUUCAUUGGUGAAAACCGAAACAUAUUAAUUGUUCACCGUCAAUUCAUUAUGGGUAUAGAAUUUUGGGUUUCACUUAGUACGUAGUAACACGAGACUAAGAUCAUAAACACAGAUGUUGUGUAACCAUAAACCUCAGUGGCAAUUGAUGAGUGUCUUAAGGGUUACGUUAAUGAUAUGAAGUGAGAUGGAGAAAAAUGGUGUAGGUGGUUAAGUAACCAAAUGUACCUCUGCUAUAAAAGUAUGACCAAGUAGAAAACUCUAAGCUUAAUGUGAGAAGAGUAAGUUAGCUCAUGAAUAGAGUGAAUUUAACAUCCUAAUUGGGAAAACAUGAUUUGUAUAUAUCACAUCAUUAAGGCUUCACUCAAAAUCUAUACAGGCUUCGGUCGACAUGAAGCAACAAGCUUCCAGGGACACUUAACUGAUACAUAGAGAAAUUUAUACCUGCUCCAGCUCCAUCAUCGAGAAUAGCUUUUAAACAUGAAAUCAUGAGAAAUAUGAAACAAAAUAUUUUUGUAUUUUAUGUAAAACUUCUAAAGAAAAAGAAAACAAAAAGAAAACUAUUUUUGGAUUUUAUGAAAAUAAAAAAAUGAAAAGAAAAACAUAAAAAUGAGUAUGUAAAAGAGUGUACAAAAGUAUACAACCAAAAUUCCUUUUAAAGAAAAUAAAGUGAACCGAGUUCAGUAGGACCGAACCCAAAAUAGACCGAGUGUUCGGUUCAUUUCAGUUCCCGGGUGAACCGAACCCGAAAUAGACCGAGCGUUCGCUCUAUUUCCCUUUCAACCUUUAAUGAAGCGAAGCCGAUUUCGGUACUGAUGCAGCUUCCAUCAUUCCUAGGCCUUGUAGGAUCUUAUUGAAACUUGGUUUAGGUAAGGCCUUAGUAAAGAUAUCUGCUAAUUGAUCAGUGGUUCUAACUGUUGGGUUUUGAGCAUUCUAACACUCCUAUGUGUACAUGCAACCCUAAAUACCUUAGAUCUAUGUUUUCCCUAUUAUACAUGCAAAUAAGAACUUCCAAGGUAUUAUCCUAAUCUAGCAUACAAAACAACAAAUAUAACAAGAUAGAAUACAUACCUCUUUGAUGUAGAAAGUCUUCAUGAAGCUUGAGUGCCUAGUGCCCCAAGUGUGACACCUCAAAUGGUUCACACAACACCAAAUACAAAUGGAAUAACUUGAGAGAAUUCUACACUUCAUGAAAAUCAGCUAGCCCUUUCUUACUCUCUCUAGUGGCCGAUUUUGUUCAAGAAUAAGAUGCAUAUAUAGUUAGGGUUACACCAUGUAAACCCUAAUUGAGAUGGCCUUUCAUUUCUAUGAUCCAUGGGUACAAAUACACCAUGGAGCAUCAUAUGGGUUUUAUGUUAGUUUUUGAGCAAUCUAACACUUCCUAAGUGUGCAUGCAACCCUAAUAAACCUUGGAUCGAUGUUUGUCUAAAUACAUGAAAAAUAAUAAUUUUCCACGGUUCAUAACCUUUCUAACAUGGUAUGGGGUACUUUUAAACAUAAAAGAGUUAGAAGAGAUUAUAUACCUUUUUGAUGAGUUUGAUUCUUAUGGAGUUUGAGGGCCAAGCACCAAUAAUGUGAAUGCCUCAAAUGGAAUCACAAAUCACCACAAACACUUGGAAAACUCUAGAGAGUGUACACACACUUGCAAUUUUCGGCCACACACAAGCACACACACUAGUGGCUAUUUCAUGCAACAUAAGCAUGCUUAUAUAGUGUACAUGGUUAGGGUGAAACCCUAAUAACCCAUGACCUUUCCUUUUCCAAGGAUCCAUGGGUUAAAAGCUCCAUGGAUCAUCCAUGGACUUCCAUACAAGCCUAGCCCAUUAACAAAUGAGUAUUAGCCCACACUAUAUAAAACCAAUAGCCCACAAUCUAAUUAGUCUUCCUUUUAAUCUCUAAAUUAAUUCAUAAUUAAUUUAAGACNCUAGUGGCCGAUUUUUCCUCAAUAAUAAGAUGCUUAUAUAGUUACACAAUUAGGGUAAACUCUUAAUUGUCAUGGCUUUCCAUUUCCUUGGAUCCAUGGGUACAAAUACACCAUGGAGCAUCCAUGGACCAUCCUAUGGGUUUUAGCCCAACUUGAUUAUCCAUGGAGCAUUAGCCCACUAUACAAGUAUGGAUGAUUUACACAAUCAACCCAUAUAUUUAAUUAGUCUUCUUUUGAUCACUUAAUUAAUCCUAGAUUAAUUCUUGAUCAAUACUAAUUAAAUAAUCUUAUUAUUCUUAUUAUUAAUAUACUAGAACUUAUAAUAUAUUAAUAACCAUAAGUGUCUUAUUUCUCUCAUUAUAGUCUAUCCAAGUGCAUGAUGCCAUGCAACCCAAAUGGACCAUGUCGGGUCGGGUCAAGUCUUACCAAUUAUAGUUAUACACUUAGACAUUAAUCCAACAGUCACCCACUUGGAUUAGUCUAAAACUAUUAUUGCGUAUGACUUCAGGAACCGACUGGCAAUCGUAGCUCUCAAAAGCUUCUGUCGAACUCUGACCUUGUCGAUGAACUCUGACCUUUGUCAAUGACUUGUCCAUUAGAUAAGGGAUCAUAUAUUCCUCCAUUCUAGAUAUCAUAUGGACUGAGACAUGGAUUAUAAUCAUUCUCUCUGUCCAUUUGUUGUUUCCCGAUUUCCGAUUUAUGACGACUGACUAAUUGAACAAAUCAAAUCAGUCCUGGCCCGGCCGAGCACUUCCAUUUGUCAUCAUCAAAUCAUCGAGGGGCCCACAGAUAUCGCUUUUAUCCCGAAGGUAAAAGGAAUGGAUAAACUUCGACUCAUAUGGCUUGUUCUACUACUUGUUGAAUCAUACACAAAGGCACGUUUUAUAGCACCGAGUUACCAAAUGCGUUUUCGUGCAAUCAAUGUACUAUCAACUCAUAGUAACAACUCAUAUCUCUAGGUUUGAAGAAUAUAAGAUAUUAUCGUCUCAUGAUCACUCGUGAUAAAAUCCAUGAAGUGAUUCCAAUGAGCGCGGGUUGAAUCCAAUACUCAGAACUUAUGAGCACUCAUGAGUGUUGUAGCCCUUUGUCCAACACCUUAGACCUCUACAAGCCAACCCAUGACAGUCUUAAUUCAUAUCUACUUCCAACAUAUGACCGACUGUGGAUGGUUUGAAUAACUUAGUCAUUCCGGAAGAAUAACCUAGUUUAUUCGGGAAGUCAAAACAUGCAAAGUGAAACACAAUAAUAAUUGAAUCCAAUAUGGUAUCAAAACUUUGAACAUAAAUAAAACACCUUUUAUUUAUCACCAUAUGAUUACACAUUAUUCAUUGUAUACUGUUUCAGCUAUCAACUUUAUUCUUGAAUUUAAAACAAUAGUUGUCCCAUGCUCCAAGCAUGUACACUAUGUUUUCUUAAACACUAGUCAUGCCACACACCAAGUAUGCAUACUAUGUUUGUCUAUGAUCUUUACUUUGUGAACUAGAUCAAUUGAACAUAACUUCAAUGAUUCUCUUUUCACACUCCCAAAUCCUUACUGCAAAUGCAAGAAUUCCAAAUUCAUGCCAUUUACUGAAAUCUGUUAGAUUCUAAACUUAUAUGCAUUGAUCCUCUUGUAAUGAUUAUGCACAAAGUCAGAAAGACUUGACAACAAUCAUUACAGAGUAUUCCAAAGGAGAUCAGCUCCUUGGAAACAUCCUUCUUGCAUUAAGUUUCCUAAUCUUAAACAGAUUGAAAAUUCUAACUUUGAAACAUUUCCAGAUUCCAUUUUGACUAUCACUUCUGAACAAGAGUUGCCUCCUUACAGAUUAUGUCAAUAUGGUCCUUCCAGAAUUAUCACUAUACUUCCAACUGUCCUUGAGCAACCAAUCUUUGGUAAACCUUAGAUUGUCCUCGACAAUUGUUUAAUCCUUUUAGUCAUAUCCAGUUCUAAACCUUUUCCCUUCUUAAUGCCCCAGGCAUUUGGAAAAUUUUAGAACGGAUGAAUAUAGCACAUGUAAUCGAUCCUAUAUCCGAAGCAUAUGGGACACGAUUCAUGAUGUCUCACAUAAAGACUAAACCAGUCUUUUGCUAUAACAUUUCCAUUUCAAUUUGCCAAGUUCUCAUAAUUCAGAUUAUGAAAAGGGAUGCCGUAAUCAUAAUCGAAUUUUAGAACGCAAAUAAUGGACCCAUAUACAGAAUUUCCUUAUGUUGAGCCAUUCCAACAUGAAAUUCAUAUAUAUCCUUGACUAAAUGAUUAAAACCUCACGAUCUAAGCUUAUAGAUUUGAGAUGAAGUAUAAUUUCCUCUCCCUUAAUUAUAGCAAAACAACUUUUUCCCAAUUGAAACUUUUGUUUUCUAUAAUUAACAUUGCUAACUUGCAAUACUUAUCAUAAUUAUCAUGCUCCCACUAACAUGAUGAUUAUUAGCAUAACACUUAUGCUCCCACUAGCUUUGACAUGUACUCAGAAAUCAGCUGGACUUCUAGAAAUCAAUACUUCAUUGACUUUCUUACCAAAGUUCAGAUUUCUGAUGCUAGAUUGUUUUGAUAAAACUUUAUCAAAAUCAUACACCUUCCCUUAGAUAGCACACUUGUGUGUCUAAACAAUUAUGAAGAGGUAUGCCGUAAUCAUAAUGGUUAGACCUUUUUGCCACUUCUCACAAGUCCAGGUUAGUGUGCCGGUAAACCACACACGCUCCACUAACGACUUUGAGAAUGCAAAUAUCACAAUUGCUAUCUAGCUAAAAUCUACUUAGUGAAAGUGUUUCCUCACCAUCAUUUUCAUGAAUCGGAGAGAAACCUUAUGACACUUAGAUUUAAUGGUGUAUGUGUUCUUAUCCAUGUGAAUUGUCAAAACCAUAGUCACAAGACAAGGAUAAUGACAAAUCCAAACUCAUAUGGACUGAACUCAAUCUUAAUUUCUUGCCACCUGGCAGCUCAAGGGCCUGCCAUUGCUUCCAAGUUGUUGUGCAACAAAUUGAGAACUCUAAGAACUCAUAUGCAAAGCCAACUUUAACU
rnacentral:lncRNA from 1 species